AAAAAAUCAAACACUUCACUUUUUCCCUCUCCCUAUACGCUCCCUUCUCCCUUUCUCUAUCUCUGUCUCACUCUCUUCUGAAAUGUAUUUCCUAUGCACAAUUUUGAAACAAUUUCUCUCUAUUUGGUUGAAAAACUCAGAAAAAUGGCUUCUCCUCUUCAAGAACAAACCCAAGGGAGAAAUAACCAUGGCUGGCCAUUCCUGCCCCUGCCUGUUCCCUCCCAAUACUUCGACCAUAGGAACCGCUGCACACAAAUAUACAAUUUGUAAGGUGCACCGUUACCAUCAGACCGUCAGAACUACCAUCGAUUCACUUGGUCUUGCUUCUGUCAAGGCAUGAUUCAUUCCUUGCUCCUCAUGCUCUUCAUCCUUCUUCUCCAUAUUCUGAUAAGGUGUAUCUCUUGAACUUGUUUGGUUUCCUGUUAAUUGGAAAUGUUCAUAGUUUGCAUAAUAUUGCAUUCAUAAAUCCAACAUAUCGGAUGACGUGCUUUAGAAAAAUUGGAGUCAUCACUGUAAUGGAUGGGCUAAUUCAUGAAAUGCGCCCACUUUAAAUUUUUUUUAUUUUAUUUUUUAUUGAUGUAAGUUGCGUAAGCUUUUUGUUGUAAAAUUGGUAGUACCUUUAGCAUUUUCCAUAUGUUCUUACGUUUUAAUGCUUUGAUUGGGGAGUUUUGUUUUGUGUGUUAAUAUUUUGGAUGGGAAUGAUUAUACAUGGGGAAUUAUUACUAUAAAACUGGUAAAAGCACAUGGUAGAUUAAUGUUAUGCUUUAUUUUGAAGCAAAUAAAAAGAUGCGCUAAAUAAGUUUGGUUUGA